AUGUAUUUCAUCAAAAUGAUUAUAAUUUUCCAUGCUUAUUAUAUACUUAUACAUUUUUAUCAAAUUUCUCUAUCAGUUGACUCUAUAUCUCAGUCCAUUUCCCUAAUAGAUGAUGGAAACACCUUAGUUUCCAAAGGCAGGACCUAUGAACUUGGAUUCUUCACCCCCCAGGAAAUUCCAAUAAACGUUACUUUGGGAUUUGGUACAAGAAAAUCCCAAUUCAAACAGUGGUUUGAGUUGUAA